rnacentral:rRNA from 1 species
AUUGAACGCUGGCGGCAGGCCUAACACAUGCAAGUCGAACGGUAACAGGAAGCAGCUUGCUGCUUUGCUGACGAGUGGCGGACGGGUGAGUAAUGUCUGGGAAACUGCCCGAUGGAGGGGGAUAACUACUGGAAACGGUAGCUAAUACCGCAUAACGUCGCAAGACCAAAGAGGGGGACCUUAGGGCCUCUUGCCAUCGGAUGUGCCCAGAUGGGAUUAGCUAGUAGGUGGGGUAACGGCUCACCUAGGCGACGAUCCCUAGCUGGUCUGAGAGGAUGACCAGCCACACUGGAACUGAGACACGGUCCAGACUCCUACGGGAGGCAGCAGUGGGGAAUAUUGCACAAAGGGCGCAAGCCUGAUGCAGCCAUGCCGCGUGUAUGAAGAAGGCCUUCGGGUUGUAAAGUACUUUCAGCGGGGAGGAAGGGUGUAAAGUUAAUACCUUUGCUCAUUGACGUUACCCGCAGAAGAAGCACCGGCUAACUCCGUG